AUUUCUGCUUGUUUAUGGGAAUUUUUUUGUGGAAGUUUUAGAAAACCUCCGUAACAUAUUUUAUUUAUGGCAAAAUAUAAAACUCCCAUUAAUUAAAACUAGUUUAAAUUUCUAAGCCCAAUUUUCUAAACCAAUAACCAGUCUCUAACCUAUUCUGAUUAAGCCCAAACAAAUUUAACUCCAAACAAAAACUUGACCAAAAAAAUUGGAAGAGGAAGAAGAGGGAGAAUGAAACCCUAGCAGAUUUACUCGCCAUCGCAGUAUUCAUCUCUUCGCCAUUGUCAUAAUCAAACUCGCCGUAGCGCUGAGAUCGAGGGAGAGUAACCAGCGACGCCCGCGACGCCAUUCUUGCCGAGGUCCAGGAGCAGGUUUCUAUCCUCAACUCCACUUUCUCAUGGAAGGAGUCAGAUCGAGCCGCCGCCAAGUGCGCCACUCACGCGCUUGCCGAUCUCGCCAAAACGAGGAAGUGGUGAACGUGAUUGUUGAAGGAGGAGCUAUUCCUUCGGCGCGUCUCCUGAGAUCACUUCACGUUGAAAUAGACAUAUGGAUAAGCAGAAUGAGAUCCUUAUGGAAGCCUACAGAUCAAUGCUCCAUGAAUUGCAAAAACUUCAGGGCGAAGAAGAAAUGCUUAUGCACAAGCUCUAUGAUGUUAUGUCAGCUCAUGGUCUAACCAAAAAGGAUGUUCUGAUGUAUACUGCUGACUAGCGUAACAUUCAUUAUGUUGAUGAGGUCUAGCUAAAGGUGUUGCUGUUGGAAUAUCUAUAGCUGGAACAAGUUGGGUUCUGCCAUUAUUAAUUUGUGCUUGUGUUAGAUAAUUCCAGAAGGAAAAAGAAAAAAUUAAAUUACCAACAGAAGAUUUUAUAUCAAGUUCAACCCAAGAUGCAUCUAGCAGUGGUGAAUAUGAAACUUUAGGAUCCCCAGCUGCUAGUGCUUCUGGCCUUCCGACAAUUAUGGCAGGAAAAUCAAUGGAAUUCUCUUAUCAAGAACUAGCCAAGGCUACAAAUAACUUCAGCUCUGAUAACAAAAUUGGUCAGGAUAGAUUCAGAGCUGUCUAUUUUGCAGAAUUGAGAGGCCAAAAAGCAGCAAUUAAGAAGAUCAAUGUUCAAGGAUCAACAGAGUUUCUUUCAGAGUUGAAGGUCUUAAAACAUGUUCAUCACUUGAAUCUGGUAACUACUUUCUUCUACACCAAAAGGUCAAGUUUCUAUGGCAUUCAGUGAAUCUCAACUUGACUCUGAACAAUUUAGGUGCAUUUAAUUGGAUACAUGCCUCCAGUGUAAGAACUUAGUUGUUAAUUGUCUUAGAACAUAACAAUAAAUAUUAGAAAAUAUAAAAUAAGUCAACGAAAGUUGUGAUUGAUCAAUUUAUAGAUUCUGAAUGUCUAAGAACUUGGUUUGACAUGACUGAAUUAUAGAUUCUUGGGUUGGGCAUAAUGUGAGACGUGAGUGUUAUCUCUACUUUAGUGACAUCUAUUUUUCCAUUCUUGAUUAUGAUAUCUUCCUUUAAUUUUAGUCAUCUCUACUUUGUAUAUUAAUGAUAUUUUGCACCCAAUUUAAUGUUAUCUCUACUUUAGUGGAUCAGAAUGCUUCAACCAGCUAAAGGUUGUUAUGGCCGCAGCACCAACAGUAAGUUUUACUCUCGUCAUUAUGAUCUUGUGUUAUCAGAAUGUUAACUUCAUAUUAUGUUUCUAUACAGAUUGAACUUAUCCAUAGAGUUUGCGAUUUGGAUGAUGAAAGACAAAGUAGAAAACAUAGAUACCUUCAAGCAUAUAGGAAUGGAGAAGGUGCUGGAAGGUGUAUUAGAAACCACAUCAGAGCUUGAAAGCUUCAAUGUUUUCUCUGGUACUGUUGGAUUGAACAGGCACAAUCUAACAAUUCACUCACUGGUUGAGACAGUCUUCAAGUUGCUGGAAAACAGGUGAAGUAAUUCAUCACUUUUGAACCAUAUUGUAAAAUCAAUAAUCUAUGUUAACCUUGAGCAAAAAUUGUAAAUUUGUAACACUGUACACUGUUGUUUGUUUUGUAUAAAUGUGUAUUAUAUAUCCCACAUUAGUUUUUAUUUUGGUUUUUGGUUCUGAUGGUUAUUUAUUUAUAUUUCCCUUUAGAUUUUGAUUCUUCAGUCGAGGAAUCAAUUCUUUAUUGAUUUGUAACAGCAAGGACCAAUUAUAUAUUAAUGA